AGACCCGUCUUGAAACACGGAAACCGUUCGGGGGUAAACGGACAGAGCCCGUGAAUCUGGGCGGCGGAAUUCAGGAUGGCCGGCGCGCUCUCGCGGCGCGUCGGUCGUUUGAUAUUUCCGUCGCCGAUCAACCGCAGACGUCGCGACCUGUUCGCGGUCGGUCCCUGCUCGGAGGAGCCGCGUUCGAGUUCGUUGUGUACGCGUUUCGGCGCGUUACACGGCGAAGGCGCGGAUCUCUGGCUGGCCGUCGGACAGUAUGCUUAACGGUGUCCGGUGUCGUCGUCUCGUACGCGCGUGCAUCGGUACCGGUCAGCGACGAAUUCUUCGGGCCUCUUUCC
rnacentral:rRNA from 1 species